ACACGAGUCAGCGCGCCGGUCGCGACGCCGCGCUGGUUGGUGACCAGCACGACCGCGGUCCCGGCGCGGUUCGCCGUCGCGAUCGCGUCC
rnacentral:tRNA from 1 species